ACUACACUAUCAGAGUUUUAUUAGCAACAGAAUCCACUAUGCAUUUGACCAAAACAAACUCACAAUUCUCAGAAACUACUAACAACCCAUGACCCCAAAACUUGGUCAACCUUUGAAUCACAUCUCAACAUGGAAUCCCAGAAGCAGCAUUUGCCCGGAACUCGUCGUGAAAUGGGGAAUAUAUUCUUUUGCAUAUGUAACAGCU
rnacentral:misc_RNA from 1 species